rnacentral:lncRNA from 1 species
UAAAUAAAAACAUAAUUGCCAGAAUAAGAAGUCUAACAUGCACCUUGCUAUAUAUAUAUAUAUAUGUUAAUGCUUAAUGCAAUGCUGUCGGCUAGUCAGAGUGAUACUGAUUGACUCAAAUCACCUGCAUGUAUGCAUAGAUUCCCCAAACUCCAUACCAAGAACCAAAUGAGAGAGUUUAUAUUAAAAUUAAAUCAUAUUAAACAGCACAAACUAAAGUAUAAACCAGAAAUAGUUGCUCUUUGUGAUAGUGAUAAACUGAUAACUUUUUUUAGAGCCUUGCUUUGUUGAAACGGUUAAAAAUAGUAUAGAUCAAAGUGAUUAUGUUGAGACAUGACUACAGGCAUGAACAAAAAAGUGGAAGAGAGGUCCAUGGAAAUAUAAUGCAGCAAAAGCACUUAGAUUGAACUGCUUAAAUAACCAAACCGUAGAUAAUGUCAGUUCAUAGUAAGAUUAAGCAAGUACCUGUUGCAGCUGCAGCAGUAAGAGUUAUAAGAUCACCCGGUGUUUGAAUAUCAACUGCAGACUUGACGGUAGAAGC